AGUCAUUGCGGCCCCCUGGGAGACCCACUUGAUGACGUGACAUUCCCAAGGAGACGAUGAAGUCAAACCGAGCUGGCUGAUUCCAGCUGGAGAGCUCAUUUAUAACUUUCUCAAGCUGCAAAGGAGGUGGAGCUUCCCAGGGGACCACAGCUCCAGACAGAGCUGAGAAGAGGUAGACCUGGAACUGGGAGCUGUAUUUAGACACAAUGCCUUCCAGAGAAAGAAGCCAACAUGGAGAGAAGCAGAUGUGAACGAGAGAAGAACAGAUCCCAGGUAGCUGUUGGUCCAAGGGAAAUGGAAGAUGAGUGGAGCUGACCUGAACCCUGACCUGUGUCCUGAAGCAGAGCUCCCUGACGCUA